AGGAGACAGCAUGGUAGAGUGGAUUGAUCUGAGAAAUACCGGCGAACUUGAUCUGGAUAAUACCAGCGAAAGGAUCUGCUUCUUGGGCUUC
rnacentral:ncRNA from 1 species